AGUCUGACCAGCCAUGCCGCGUGCAGGAAGACGGCCCUACGGGUUGUAAACUGCUUUUGUACCGGAAUAAACCUUUUCACGUGUGAGAAGCUGAAUGUACGGUAAGAAUAAGGAUCGGCUAACUCCGUGCCAGCAGCCGCGGUAAUACGGAGGAUCCAAGCGUUAUCCGGAUUUAUUGGGUUUAAAGGGUGCGUAGGUGGCCUAUUAAGUCAGGGGUGAAAGACGGUAGCUUAACUAUCGCAGUGCCUUUGAUACUGAUGGGCUUGAAUACACUUGAGGUAGGCGGAAUGUGACAAGUAGCGGUGAAAUGCAUAGAUAUGUCACAGAACACCAAUUGCGAAGGCAGCUUACUAAAGUGUUAUUGACACUGAGGCACGAAAGCGUGGGGAUCAAACAGGAUUAGAUACCCUGGUAGUCCACGCCCUAAACGAUGAAUACUCGAUGUUGGCGAUAUACGGUCAGCGUCUAAGCGAAAGCGUUAAGUAUUCCACCUGGGGAGUACGCCCGCAAGGGUGAAACUCAAAGGAAUUGACGGA
rnacentral:rRNA from 1 species